rnacentral:rRNA from 1 species
UUUCCUACGGGGCGCAGCAGUGGGGAAUAUUGGGCAAUGGGCGCAAGCCUGACCCAGCAACGCCGCGUGAAGGAAGAAGGCUUUCGGGUUGUAAACUUCUUUUGUCAGGGACGAAGCAAGUGACGGUACCUGACGAAUAAGCCACGGCUAACUACGUGCCAGCAGCCGCGGUAAUACGUAGGUGGCAAGCGUUAUCCGGAUUUAUUGGGUGUAAAGGGCGUGUAGGCGGGAAUGCAAGUCAGAUGUGAAAACUUUGGUCUGAACCCAUAACCUGCAUUUGAAAAUGUAUUUAUUGCGUGCUGGAG